rnacentral:rRNA from 1 species
AAUGAACGCUAGCGGCAGGCUUAAUACAUGCAAGUCGAGGGACAGCACAGGUAGCAAUACUGGGUGGUAACCGGCAAACGGGUGCGGAACACGUACACAACCUUCCUUUAAGAGGGGGAUAGCCCAGAGAAAUUUGGAUUAAUACCCCGUAAUAUAGUUGAAUGGCAUCAUUUGAUUAUUAUAGCUACGGCGCUUAAUGAUGGGUGUGCGGCUGAUUAGAUAGUUGGCGGGGUAACGGCCCACCAAGUCUACGAUCAGUAGCUGAUGUGAGAGCAUGAUCAGCCACACGGGCACUGAGACACGGGCCCGACUCCUACGGGAGGCAGCAGUAAGGAAUAUUGGUCAAUGGACGCAAGUCUGAACCAGCCAUGCCGCGUGAAGGAUUAAGGUCCUCUGGAUUGUAAACUUCUUUUAUUUGGGACGAAAAAGGGCCUUUCUAGGUCAACUGACGGUACCAGACGAAUAAGCACCGGCUAACUCCGUGCCAGCCGCCGCCGUAACAC